GACGGCAGAAGCCGUGGUUAACUCCUCCCCGAAUCGUCUCUCCUCUCCCAAUUUCGCGUUGGAGUUCCUGAAGCUUGAUUGUAUUGGAGUUUCUCGCUGCACCGCCAUCCCCAAUCUCAGCCUCUCUCCUCUCCGAUCUCGUAUGCGCCCACCUCCCUUUCUCAUUCGAGGCCGAAGAUCCCUGCCCUUCGCCCCCCUCCCUUUCUCAUUCGAGGACGACGCUGCAGCCUCAGAGGCCCCGGCUGCUUCCCCGCGUCACCGCUACCCAAGGCGAGGAGACGCUGCCCCGUUCGCCUACCCUCACACCCGUGACGACAGGGUCGUGAGCACUAUUAAACACGAGAAGGCCGCCAAGCACCGCCGCUUGAAGAUCUCUGGAGCUCAAUUUACUUGUCCCUCUUGGUUUUCUGAUGGAGCUAAAAGAUUGCCAGAAUUCUUGAUCCUAAUCCUUCUACUGUGUCGUCAGGAUCAAGGUCUUCGUCUGCUAUGUCCUCAUCACCAGGUUCAGGCAUGGGUGAAGCACGCGCAUUCUCAAUAACUGAAGCAUCACCACUGACCCCUUCCACGUCGGUCCUACGCCAAACUGUCAACUCAUCUUGAUUAUGUUGAACAUUCAUAUGUUCCACUCCUACUACGAGUGAGUCAGCAUCGGUAUCAGCAACAAUAUUAGAACUGUCUUCUCCUUCAGGCAUUGCAAACAGGUUCCUAGGUUUCGGUCUAAGGACGCUGCACCAAUUAGCUCUCUUAGCGGUUUUCACAUAACACACCUGCUCUGCCUGUGUGGCCAGGAUGUAUGGCUCGUCUGCAUAUCGACGCAAAGUGGUAUCAAUAUCGAUGAUCCCAUAUUGAUCUUUAUUGAACCCUCUUGAUUUCGUCCUAUUUGCUCCAGGAACAUCAAACCACUCGCACUCGAACAAUACGACUUCCUUCUCGUCAGGAAAUUCAAGGGUAAUGAUUCUUUUAAGAACUCCGUACCACUCCAUGCCAUCACCCAUGACAACAACACCACUGUUCUGAGUGACUAGGGAUUUCUCUAGAUCAAUGGUCCGAAAGAGAAAGCCAUUAAUGACACACCUAUUGGACACACGAA